GUUUUUGGCGUUGCCUUGUAAGCCGUUCCCUCCAUUCGUUCCUUGCGGGAAGCGACGUCCAAAGCAAUCGAAGCCUCGUGGUUUUUGGCGUGGCCUGUUUGGCUGUAUCGCGCCGUUCCCUCCGUUCGUUCCUGGCGGAGCGACGUCCAAAGACCUACAGAAGGGCUCUUUAUGUCCCUCUGUCCGGUGGUGGUCGCAAGCGAGGCCUGCACCGUUAUUGCCAUCACCAUAGUCUGAAGACCUACAGCAGGGCUCUGCCUGGCUCUGCGUCCCUCUGUCCAGUGGUGGUCGCAAGCGAGGCCUGCACCGUAAUUGCCAUCACCAUAGUCUGAAGACCUACAGCAGGGCUCUGCCUGGCUCUGCGUCCCUCUGUCCAGUGGUGGUCGCAAGCGAGGCCUGCACCGUAAUU
rnacentral:lncRNA from 1 species